AAAAAUAUGGGCAAUAGGUCAUAUUAACCUUAAACUAUUCUGAAUGUUCUUAAGCUUCAAUCAGAAAUACAAAUGGCCUAUCUUUAUAAUUAUUUCCCUUUACCCUAUCUGAAAAAUGCUUAUAUUUUACACUUCAGCCUAAAGUAAGCAAGCACUGCAUAAAAUGAUUAAAACCAGAUGACUGGCUUGGCUCGUAGAAGGACUUGGCUGAAACAUGUCCACUUCAAAUCCAUACUGUCUUAUUUGCUUACAUCACAGAAUCACUGACUCAAGAACCUGAAGGGUCCUCCAA
rnacentral:lncRNA from 1 species